AGAGUUUGAUCCUGGCUCAGAACGAACACUGGCGGCGUGGAUUAGGCAUGCAAGUCGAACGAGAAAGUUUCCUUCGGGAAGCGAGUACAGUGGCGAACGGGUGAGUAACGGGUGGAAAACCUGCCCUUCAAUGGGGGAUAACAGUCCUAACGGGCUGCUAAUACCGCAUACGAUGUUUUUACCGCAUGGUAGAAAUAUGAAAGAUGGCCUCUCUUUGAAGCUGUCGUUGAAGGAUGGUUCCGCCUCCAAUUAGCUAGUUGGUGGGGUAAUGGCCUACCAAGGCGACGAUUGGUAGCCGGCCUGAGAGGGUGUCCGGCCACACUGGGACUGAGAUACGGCCCAGACUCCUACGGGAGGCAGCAGUCGAGAAGCUUCCGCAAUGGGCGAAAGCCUGACGGAGCGACGCCGCGUGAACGAAGAAGGUCCUAUGGAUUGUAAAGUUCUGUCAGAUUGGGAAGAAAGCUGUGCGGUUAAUACCCGUAUGGUUUGACGGUACCAUCAGAGGAAGCACCGGCUAACUCCGUGCCAGCAGCCGCGGUAAUACGGAGGGUGCAAGCGUUGUUCGGAUUCACUGGGUAUAAAGGGUGCGCAGGCGGCCUGGUAAGUCAGGGGUGAAAUAUGACGGCUUAACCGUCAAACUGCCCCUGAAACUGUCAGGCUUGAGUCCGGAAGAGGUAGGUGGAAUUCCUGGUGUAGCGGUGAAAUGCGUAAAUAUCAGGAGGAACACCGGUGGCGAAGGCGGCCUACUGGUCCGGAACUGACGCUCGAGUACGAUCGCAAGGUUGAAACUCAAAGGAAUUGACGGGGGCCCGCACAAGCGGUGGAGCAUGUGGUUUAAUUCGAUGCAACGCGAAGAACCUUACCUAGGCUUGACAUGCAGGGGACAGGUGUAGAAAUACACCCUUCUUCGGACUCUUGUACAGGUGCUGCAUGGCUGUCGUCAGCUCGUGUCGUGAAAUGUUAGGUUAAGUCCUGCAACGAGCGCAACCCCUAUCUUUAGUUGCCAUCAGGUUAUGCUGGGGACUCUAGAGAGACUGCCGGUGACAAACCGGAGGAAGGUGGGGACGACGUCAAGUCAUCAUGGCCCUUACGCCUAGGGCUACACACGUGCUACAAUGGUCGGUACAAUGGGCUGCAAUACUGUGAAGUGGAGCGAAUCCCAAAAAGCCGGCCUCAGUUCGGAUCGUAGUCUGCAACUCGACUACGUGAAGUUGGAAUCGCUAGUAAUCGCGUAUCAGAACGACGCGGUGAAUACGUUCCCGGGCCUUGUACACACCGCCCGUCAAGUCAACCGAGUUGGUUGCACCCCAAGUCGCUGAGCUAACCCGCAAGGGAGGCAGGUGCCCAAGGUGUGAUUAGCGAGGGGGACUAAGUCGUAACAAGGUAGCCGUAUCGGAAGGUGCGGCUG
rnacentral:rRNA from 1 species